GUAGGGGGCGAGCGUUGUCCGGAUUUAUUGGGCGUAAAGAGCUCGUAGGCGGUUUGGCAAGUCGGGUGUGAAAACUCCGGGCUCAACUCGGAGACGCCACUCGAUACUGCUAUGACUCGAGUCCGGUAGGGGAGUGCGGAAUUCCUGGUGUAGCGGUGAAAUGCGCAGAUAUCAGGAGGAACACCGGUGGCGAAGGCGGCACUCUGGGCCGGUACUGACGCUGAGGAGCGAAAGCGUGGGGAGCGAACAGGAUUAGAUACCCUGGUAGUCCACGCCGUAAACGUUGGGCACUAGGUGUGGGGCUCGAUCGACGGGCUCCGUGCCGUAGCUAACGCAUUAAGUGCCCCGCCUGGGAAGUACGGCCGCAAGGCUA
rnacentral:rRNA from 1 species